AUGCCAUGGUGUGGGCACUCACUCUGCAGAUCUUUGUAACUUUCUCAUGCAUCAUAAAGAGACUCAUUGUCCCUUUACUGAAAUCUAUUAGGUUCAUUGAGGAGUUU